rnacentral:rRNA from 1 species
CCCCCAACCUUAAGCCCAACAAACAACAUUAAUAAACCCACACCCCCAAUUUAGAAACAACAAACCAUUUUACCACCCUAGUAUAGGCGAUAGAAAAGGACACCCGGGCGCUAUAGAAAAAGUACCGUAAGGGAAAGCUGAAAGAGAAAUGAAAAAACCCAGUAAAGAGAAGAAAAGUAGAGAUGGCUCUCG